AUUACGUACAAAGUGACCAGUCCCUCGCAAGAAAAUCUCAAAAUCUCGUUUAUCGGUCCAUCAAUUCACGGAUAUCAAGGAAUUUUUAUCUUUUUUGCAUUUCAAUUCAAUUUCUCCUUUUCAUUCCGAAUUUUUAACCUCAUUUCCUCUCCAUUAAUUUACUGUUUCUCGAUCUUUGCCUAUAUUUUUUAAUGGGCACUCCACUUCUUUGCUUCCUCUCCAGAGAGAGGGGGACGCCAAAAGGAAACCCUGCGAUUUCAUACCUUACGAUCUUCUUCAAUCUCUUAAUAUUAAAUCAAGCCCAUGUGAGAAAAAAAUAUUAUAUUUCUUUCAAUUUGUUAUUUAAUUUUUUUAUCAACCUGAAUUUUGCUUAUAUUUUGAUGAUAUUCUUUUUCAUAUUCUUUUCGUUGACUGAAAUGUAUCAAUUUUGCAUCUCGAGAGCCCGUAAAGUCGUUUUUCUGACAUUGGCUUUGCCAUUUGUUUGUGCUAAAUUUACUUGGAUUUUGCCCAAUUCUGGUGAUAGAAGAGUGGUUAAUUUUUUUUAAUGCGUAUUAUAUAGUUCGAGGAAAAUAAUAUUUGCUUUCUAUUGUGUUAAAUGAGAACCAGAUUCAAUGGGACUGAAUCGGGAUCCAUGUCGGAACUUCUAUUGUUUAUGUUUUAGCUGGAAUACUGGAGUUUUUAAUUGUUAUAUAUUGUUUUACUUUAACCUUGGUUCUUGGGCUUAUGUUUUGUGUACUCUACUAUUUCUUUCUUGACCUUACACGUGUUUCCGUUUUCAAUGAAGGGUUUAUAUUGGACUGGAUAACCACUUCAGCAUUGCCUAGUACUUCCGAGUUUCGGGACGCAGGGUUUCUGUUUUUUAUGGGUUGAGCCCGAGAAAUCAUGGGUAGCUUCAGUGACGAGGAUAAAGAAUUUCGAUUCUUUGAUGCAUCAGAGCACAUUGCAUCAGCUUCCCAGUCUGAUUCUGAUAAUGCUGGGGCUAAUAAUUGUGAAUAUGAUUUGUGGAUUGGGAGUCCUCAAAGUGUUAGGGAGCGUCGUAGGAAAUUCAUUAGACGGAUGGAAUUGAGCUUAGAUAGGUUAGAAGGAAACAAUUCCUUUGAUGUACAUAAUAAUGGUAAAUGUGGCGUGUUUAGGGAAGAUAUUGAUAGAAUAAUGGAAAGUAGUGAGUCCGUUCUAAGAAAUUCAAUUUUUGAAGAUGAAUUUUCUUCUAGUCAUUCUUGUGUAUCAAGUUGGUCCACUGGUGUUUUGGAUUUAGUAAGAGAAGUGGCUCCAAGUGAAAAUUUUAUUUGUAGAAACAUGAAUUUAAAUGAUGGACGCGAGUGUGAUGUUGAUAAUUUGGUGGAGGAUGACAAACGGAGAGCUGUUGGAGUUGCAGGGUUGGACCAAGUGUUGAUAUCCAAAGAGUUUGACAACAUUACUCGACUGACUAAUUCAGUUCAGCAACUUCGGGAGAAAGAAUUUGAGAUCAAUGGAAAUAUUUCGAAAAUAAUAAAUAAAGUAAAAGUUCGCUGGUUGAGUAGAUUCCGUUCCUUGACACUCAUGAUGAGUGGGAAUGGGAGAGCUGAUAAUCCUAGAUCCAAUUGCCCUAGUCGAGUUCAGGGGACCAAGGUUCAGAGAGUUAGAGUUCGGCAUAAACGGAAAAUGUUGAAAGAACUCUCUGCACUUGUCACUGGACAAGAUAUCAAGGCUCAUGAAGGGUCAAUCCUUACUAUAAAAUUUAGUCUCGACGGACAAUACCUGGCUAGUGCUGGUGAAGAUAAAAUUGUGCGAAUUUGGCAAGUGGUGGAAGAUGACAGAUCAAGCGAUACUGAUAUUCCAGAUGUAGAUCAAUCUUGCAUUUACUUCUCGGUGAACCAUCUUUCUGAAUUGGAACCUCUCAUGAAGGAAGAAUAUAAAACCAACAAAUUGAAGAGUUUAAGGAAACCAAAAGACUCGGCAUGUAUCAUCUUUCCUCCAAAGGUUUUCCGGAUUUUGGAGAAGCCAUUGCACAUAUUUGUAGGUCACACUGGAGACAUUGUGGAUCUUUCUUGGUCGAAAACUAAUGUGAGUUUUCGACAUGCAAUCAAGUAGGUUUUCUUUUGAAAUUGCCUGGGAAUGAAUGGUAUUAUAUAUAACUAAGUUUUCUUGCAGUGUCUGCUUUCUUCAUCAAUUGAUAAAACUGUUCGUUUGUGGCGGGUUGGAUAUGAGCAGUGUCUCAAGGUCUUUCUGCAUAGUGAUUAUGGUGUGUAACCAGUUGCAUAUAGUGAUUUGAUAGGAUUUGGCUUGUGAAAAAACAUUAUAUCAAUGUCUUGACAUACUGAUUCCUUUUGCUAAAAAUGAAUUUAAUUGUAUGCAGUAACCUGCGUUCAAUUUAACCCUGUGAAUGAUGAUUACUUCAUCAGUGGUUCAAUUGAUGGAAAAGUUCGGAUUUGGACAAUCAGCGGUUAUCAAGUUAUCAACUGGACUGAAAUAAGAGACAUAGUUACUGCUGUUUCUUAUAGGCCUGAUGGGCAGGUCUGUUGAUUGUCUAUCCCUUUACAGAUAAUUAUGAUACAGUAUUCAAAUAGGAUUGAAGACGACAAUGGAUAAGAUUUUGACUUCUUCUUCUUCAUUUUGUUUUUUUGUUUUUGUUUUUAAUACUGUUGAGUUGUCUCCGAUCCGUAUAAUCAAACAUGCCUCAGUAUUUUAUUGAAACUAUGGAUUCAUAAAUUUAUAAGACAUACUAAUGGAAUAAUUCUCUUUCUGUUGUAUAGGGUGGUAUUAUUGGCUCUAUCACAGGCAUGUGUCGCUUUUUUAGUAUAUCAGGUAAUUUGUAGAGAUUUAUAGAUUAUUUUGUAUUGCUGCUUAAAAUAGUGGUCAAUGCUCUUAAGUCUUAUGAUGCCAUGCAACUUUAUGGUUUAUUUAUCCCUCUGUAAUAUUUCAAGGUUUUGAUUUUGCUCGUGAAGUCCAGAUGAUUCUUUUACUAUUAUGCCAUAAUUUAGCAUUGAAAUUGAAACUCACUAGUAGGUACUAAACAUUGAUUAUUGGUUUUGACUUCUCUCUUUGUAAGGUAAUCACUUCCAACUGGAAGAGCAGAUGUGCUUGACCAGUAAAAAGAAAUCGGCGAGCAAAAGGAUAACUGGAUUUCAGGUUACCAUCAGUUGCCUAUCACCCUUCUAUUCUAAUGAGAAGCUAUAAGUAUAGUGCAACGAGAGUAAAACCUUUAUUUUGAUCCUACUCGAUUCUUAUAUGAUGCCCCAUGAAUGCAGUUUGUCCCACAAGACUGGAGCAAAGUGUUGGUCACAUGUGCUGAUUCACAAAUCAGAAUUCUUAGUGGGAUGAAUGUGAUUGGGAGAUACAAAGGUAAGCAACUAGUGCUUCAUUGCAUAUCCUGAAGGAAUAAUAUGAUUUGGGCUCUGGUGAAUUUUAUUAGUCCUCCCUUCUCUUUCUAUUUUUUAAGAUUAAUACCCUGACUCUGUCUAUAGGCCUAGGCGGUGCUGGGAACCAGAUUUCUGCUUCAUUCACCUCAAGUGGAAAGCACAUUAUCUCGCUGUCUGAGGAUUCUAAUGUUUACAUCUGGAACUAUAAUCAGGAAUCAUAUUCUGCUUCGCAACCCAUUAGAUCAUUUGAGUGUUUCUCGUCUGACGCCUCUGUGGCAAUACCUUGGUCUGGCUUAAAGAUAGGGAACUUGGAGGACAGAUUCAAAUCGAGCAAACUCGAGGAGAGUUUAAGUAAGUUAUCGACUCAUUUCUCUUUGGGCCAAGAUUUUAUCUUGGACUCCAGCCCCAAGGGAUCUGCAACUUGGCCUGAGGAAAAGCUACCCACGUCUAGUCUCCGUACUGGGCUGUAUCAAAUGUGUAAAUCUCAAUACAAACUUUUCAAGACUUCUUGCCAGAGUUCAUCCACUUCGCAUGCCUGGGGUCUAGUGGUUGUUACUGCAGGAUGGGAUGGACGGAUUAGAUCGUUCUAUAAUUAUGGGUUACCGACACCCCAUUAAUAUGAGUUUGCAGGAUCACUGCAGAAAUCGGAUAUGAUCUAUUCUUAUGGUCGGCUGUUUUAUCCAUCAAUUUGGUCGAGUGCAGCGAGUUCAUUGCACAGAAAGUUGAUUUUGAAGGGUUAAAAUUUUUUACCCGACCCAAAACCAUCCACAUUGCUGUAUCAACGUGGAGGGCUAGUCAUCCAGUGUCCAAGUUGAGUCGAUGAAGUUUGUAAUCCAGCAACUGAUUAAAAACUAAGGUAUGCACUAUUUUCAAUUUGUUACUUCGCUUAAUUCACCAACCCUCGAUUUGUUUAUUCACGAAGUUUGUUUCUGUUGGACCAGAAAAGAAAUGGAUUUACACGCUAAGAGCGGCCAAUACGAGAUGCGCUUCUGUAUUAUGCAGCUUUAUGAAGGUUCCCUUGUAUCUUCGUACAACAUCUUUCAGUUGGUUAUCAGUCAUCACAGUGGAACAGAGGAGAGCCCGGCCAGUGGCCCCAAUUUAUUUUGAGGAAAAUGGUGGAGAACGUUUUCUCGUGGCAUGUUGGCUGGUCUGAUUGAUUUUUUGUCUGACCUUUGUAGCAUGUUUGGCUGAGCUUAUAAGGUUACUUGUUUGAAAAUAAAUUUUUCUUUAUCGAAGUUGAAAAAAAGUAUAGACAGUAAAGUAAGAGAAGCAACUGAGUAUGUUUGGCUCAUGUUUAUAAGAAUACCCGAUUUACUUUUUAUUCACACAUUUUGAGAGAACCACGGGCG
rnacentral:lncRNA from 1 species